GACGUUAGCCAAUAGUCACUCGGGUAGCAGCUAGCUAGCUGCAAGAUCCAGGUGUAAAUGUCCAGAGCCUGCGGUAGAAAUCCGGGGAUAUGGAGAGAAAAUAGGUCCGGUGUGCUCUGGUCUGAGUCGCACUGUACAAAACUGGCGAUAGCUUUUCGAGCAAAGGGAUAGCUGAUGACCGCCAACCGUGGCUAGCUGAACUCCAACGUUAGCCAGUGAACUGGCCAAACUCUGGCUAACCUCUGGCUAGCUUCUGCUGUGGAUUUCAGAUUUGAGGUAAAUAAUACUUUUUUUGUUUUUCAAUUGGUGAGGCGGGUUGCAGGAGAGUGUUUUGAGGUUGAGUUGUUAGAAAAAAAUAUAUAAAAAGAUAUGCGAAGAAAAUAUGUAAAUAUAUAUAUACACGGGACACGACAAGAGGAGGACAAAGGACGUCUGACUGCUAUGCCAUCUUGGAAUAUGAACAGUAGUUGUGUGGCUUAUAGGAACAGUAGUUGUAUGGCUCAGGCAGGACUGCUGCAGUUGUACCUGCAUGCCCUUCUCUCACAUUCUCUGAAGGUCUCUGUGUAGACUGAAACGGCACACUCUCCCAGCUCCAUGGGACAAACAGGAAGUUCACCUUGCUGCAUGCCCUUGUGGAGCAGAUCAUGUUGCACGAAGCCGGCUUGGCCACUUUUCCCCAAGAGUUGGCGGAAUUCAAAACUGUCCCUGGGGCUUCCAUUAAAGGCCUCACUGCUGAAGUGGAUGUCCUCAAGAAUGAGUUACAGAAGGUCAUUCAGUACAGGAAAACGUACAAGAGAAGAAACCAAGGCGCGCAAUACCCAAAGUUUUCCAAAGACCUGAAGCGUUUGUCCCUAGAUGAGCGCAUCAUAGUGUGGCGGUGAAGGGAAUUGCUAUUUGUCAAGUAUACUAUGACGAUUGAGAAGUACAACACAGAUCUCUCCCUGCUGACAAAGAGAUGUGAGGAAAUGAAGAAACUCUAUACUGACAUAUUGGCUAAAUUCGGAGAGCCAAUGGAUCAAGAUUCUCAGGAGCUGUUUGGAUUGGUGUGCCAGUUUGUCAACGACUUCAAGAGGACACAUGCUGAAAUCAGAUAACAAUAUUUGCUGUCCUUGAGAUACUAUCUAUGUAAAUUCAGCCAGUCUAAAUAGAAUUUAGUUAUAAUUUGUGUACCACACAAGCUGUGCUAUUUCAGUAGUAAAAAAACCCUGGCAUUCUACUGAGAAACAUAACUCACAGCUGUGACUAAUAUUAUGAUCAGGCGGCUAGACUUGAGUAUUGCAAUUUCAGUAGGAAAACAUUUUAGUGUAUAGUACUAUGCUGAAAUUAGAACAAGUCUACACUGAGUGUACAAAACAUGCUCUUACUAUGACAUAGACUUACCAGGUGAAUCCCGGUGAAAGCUCUGAUCCCUUAUUGAUGUCACUUGUUAAAUCCACUUCAAUCAGUGUAGAUGAAAGGGAGGAGACAGGUUAAAGAAGGAUUUUUCAACCUUGAGACAUGGAUUGUGUAUGUGUGCCAUUAAGAGGGUGAAUGGGCAAGACAAAAGAUUUAAACGCCUUUUGAACGGGGUAUGGUAGGUGCCAGGCACACCAGUUUGUGUCAAGAACUGCAACGCUGCUGGGUUUUUCAUGCUCAACAGUUUCCCGUGUGUAUCAAGAAUGGUCCAUCACCCAAAGCACAUCCAGCCAACUUGACACAACUGUGGGAAGCGUUGGAGUCAACAUGGGUCAGCAUCCCUAUGGAACACUUUCGAUACCUUGUAGAGUCCAUUCCCAGACAAAUUGAGGCUGUUCUGAGGGCAAAAGGGGGUGUUUUGUACACUCAGUGUAUAACAGCUAUGUGGUUUGGAGACCAUAGACUAACUGUUAGUUGGGAUUCAUUGUGACAAAUUGUCUGAAAUCGAUUGAAAUAAUUAAUUGAAUUGAACUUAUGAGACAGUAGGGGGAAUGCCAGCACUUUAUUUUUCACAGCUGUCUGUCUGCUGGCAAGGGAACCUAAUCACAAAAAAACACUCACACACCAGCCUUCUGAAAACAGUCCAUUUGAUUACCUAUUUUUUCUUGUGUUGAUUGGGGACACAGAGAUUUCAUAUUCCAGUACCUCAGGAAUGGCUCCAAGACCGUUCUCUGAUUCAAGACAACAUCUGGUGCUGUUUGCCAUUUAACAUUUUUUCCCCCUGUCCCUUCUCUCUUGUAAUUGGUAUUGCAGCAGCAAAAUGGGUGCUGUUAGCAACAGCUUGAAAAUACUUUAGAUUGAUUUUGAGAGAGCGAGAGAGAGAGAGAUUGUCUGAGUCUUGACAUUUUAAUUAGGGGACAGAAAAAAAAGCAGCAUUGGUUAGUUGGUCUAAUUGUGAACCAACAAUAUAAUGAUCCAGGACCCCAUGCUGGGGUGUUUAAUUCAUAAAGCCGUACAUGUAAAACAAAAAAUAUAAAAUUUCAAUUAACUAUUCAUGUAAAAAAUGCUGGUGAAUGAUUUCAGUUAGAAAAUGGAGAGAGAACAUUUCAUUAAAUGUGACUUUCACUCACAAGAUGAUUACUUACUUUUUUUAAUGAUAUUACAUAUUUACCAAGACUGGGUUCUUUUGCCCUUGUUUCUGAAACAAAUUUGUUCCGAUUUGGUACAAUUUAAUUUUGAGAAAAAUGUAAUUAAUACAUCUCUUGAUACUCCUGGACACAUCAUUAGUGACGUAACCUAGGGUCAUUGGUUGUUUUGCAUCAUCAGACACCCUCGCCCAGGCGACCCAGCAGAGGUUGAUCAGACCUCGAAUUGUGUAAAUGCAUUACUCUGCUCCCUAUUGAUUUCCUCAUGAUCCAGAGCCAUCUUGAGGCUCUAUCAGCUGCCUUGAUGGUGUUGCUGAUUGUUCUCCUCGUGAGAGGGAUUGUCCAGCAAAACAUACCUAGCCUUCCAAUCAUCCCUACUUCGGGCAUUCGAUGAGCAGUCCCUCAUACUUGGCCCUCUUCCUCUCGUACGCCUCCUCCAGAAGAUCUUCCCAAGGGACUGUCAGCUCCAGAAUGAUAAUGGUCUUUGGGGAAUCUGAGACCAGGGUGAUGUCUGGGCUCAGAGUUGUCUUGACAAUGUGCUACGGGAACUUGAGCUGCUUCUACAAGUCUGAAAAGAUAGAUUACAUGCUUUUAUUAAUAUAUCUGUUUAUCAUAGCCCUUAGCAAAUAACAAGCAUCUUUAAACUUUACUCAGUUUAUUAGGUACACCACCCAGUUCACGAAAAUGGAUCGCUCCUACAGACAGUUAGUCACAUGGCCAUGGCUUACUACAGUGUAUAAAGUAGGCAGAUAGGCAUUGAGGUAUUCAGUUAUUGUUCGACUGAAUGUUAGAAUGUGACUCACCACCUGGAUUCGGUCUUAUGUAGCAAAAUGUGAAAGUGUUUUUUACAUUGGAUAAAAGUAGAGACACAGAGCUACAAAAUGGCAUAUCAUACACUGCAUUUGAGGAACAAUGGGAAAAUAAUUCUGCUUUGAAAGUUGAUCAGCUUGUAAACUCACUUUUGAGAAAAUCGCCUUUGAAUAUUUUGGUAUCUAGUGAAGAGCUCUUCUUCCAUUCAACAAUGUUCACACCCCCUUAAGCUUUAGCCCCACCCAUCUCAUUUCACUCUCAGAGUGCACUCUUGACGCUCUGGCCGAUGAUUUGUUUACCUCUGGAAAACAUGAAAACAGCCGAACCAGCUCGGCUGGAAACAACUUCAUUACGCUUUUUUGCAGAUGUUUACUGACACCGGCCAUAUUCAACGGGUGUUGUACACACGUCACGUAACGUUAGCUAAUGAGCCAGCCAGUUAAUGUUAGCUAGUUAAACAACAAUGAACAAAGUGCCAACAAUGCCCCAGUGCUGGGAGCUAACCAACAAUGUUCAAUGUUAUCUAGCUAAAAUUUGUCUCUAAAUAGAAAAGCCAACAGCUCUGGGAAACGAAUAAUAAUGUCCGCUAGGGAGCCAUCCAGCUAACUUUAGCUAGCUAGCUAACAGUACACUUCAGCUUAAGACAUAUAGCUAGUUAGCUAGGUAAACAAUGAAUCUAGCUAGGUAAACAACGUUUAAGAUCACACAAGUCACGUAACGUUAGCUAAAUAGCCAGCCAGCUAAUGUUAGCUAGCUAGUUAGCUAACAGUACACUUUAGCUUGAAAUGAAAGCAUAUAUCCUUUUCACUUCAUAUCCAUGACUUCAAAUACUUGGUCAUGUCAAGUGUGAAACCUCAAAGCAGGUUGUUUUUAUGUAAGAUGCAGAUAUGUGUAUGGCACCUCGACUCCCACUACCACUCCGUGUUAAAAACACCUAGAGUAGGUGAUGUGUUUGACCUAUAUGUCAGAUAUGAGUGUGAGUGGCAGACAGUUCUAGUGCUCCGAUUCAAGCUACCAAUCCCACGGUCUGUUAACCAUCACUCUGUUAACAAGCGUUACCUAACAUUGCGACUAUCUUAUAGAAGUAUGAGAUACCAUACGCGGUCACAGAGAUAGCUAACUCUUGAAAUGUAUUCUGUCACUACAAAGUUUUUUGCACCUCACAUAUGGAACAAUCUUCAGAAUACCCUUCAGUUGGAUGCAUUGGUGCCUUUUGGGCAUUUCAGAUUGUUGGUAGAGGACCUCUUCACUAAAGAACUAAUAGUGAAGAGGACUCUUCAUAGAGCUGGCCGCCCAGCCAAACUGAGCAAUUGGAGGAGAAGGGCCUUGGUCAGGGAGGUGACCAAGUACCCAAUGAUCACUCUGACAGAGCUCCAGAGUUCCUCUGUGGAGAUGGGAGAACCUUCCAGAAGGACAACCAUCUCUGUAACACUCCACCAAUCAGGCCUUUAUGGUAGAGUGGCCAGAUGGAAGCCACUCCUCAGUAAAGGUACAUGAGAGCCCGCUUGUAGUUUGCCAAAAGGCACCUAAAGGACUCUCAGACCAUGAGAAACAAGAUUCUCUGGUCUGAAGAAACCAAGAUCAAACUCUUUGGCAUGAAUGCCAAAGGGAUUGCACCAUCCCUACGGUGAAGCACAGUUAUGGCUGCUUUGCGUGAUGUAUUGUUAUCUCUACCUUCUUGCCCUUUGUGCUCUUGUCUGUGCACAAUAAUGUUUGUACCAUGUUUUGUGCUGCUACCAUGUUGUGUUGUUAGCAUGCUAUGUUGUUGUCUUAGGUCUCUCUAUUAGGUCUCUCUAUGUAGUGCUGUGUUGUCUCGUCGUGAUGUGUGUUUUUUCCUAUAUUUUUUUAUUUUAAUUUGGAAGGCCUUUUGGUAGGCCGUCAUUGUAAAUAGGAAUUUGUUCUUAACUGAUUUGCCUCAGUUAAAUAAAGGUUCAAUAAAAAAUAGAAUAAAAAAAUGGUGGCGGCAGCAUCACGCUGUGGGGAUGUUUUUCAGCGGCAAGGACUGGGAGACUAGUCAGGAUUGAGGGAAAGAUGAACAGAGCGAAGUACGGAGAGAUCCUUGAUGAAAACCUGCUCCAGAGCUCUCAGGACCUCAGACUGGGGCGAAGGUUCACUUUCCAACAGGACAACGACCCUAAGCACACAGCCAAGACAACGCAGGAAUGGCUAGAUAGAUAUGUAUUAUUAUUAUUUUUUACAAAUUAAUAAAAAAGGAACAGCUGAAAUGUCUUGAGUCAAUAAGUAUUCAACCAAUUUAUUAUGGCCAGCCUAAAUAAAUUCUGAAAUACAUAUUUGCUUAACAAGUCACAUAAGUUGCAUAGAUUCACUCUGUGCGCAAUAAUAGUGUUUAACAUGAUUUUUUAAUGACCACCUCAUCUCUGUACCCCACACAUACAAUUAACUGUAAUGUCCCUCAGUCAAGCCACAAAGACCAAGGAGGUUCUCCAAUGCCUCGCAAAGGAAUUUACUCCCUAAACAUAUUCGUAGAUGGGUUAUAAAAAGAAAAAGAAAAGCAGAUAUUGAAUAUCCCUUUGAGCAUUGUGAAGUUAUUAAUUACACUUUGGAUGGUGUAUCAAUACACCCAGUCAUUACAAAAUACAGACAUCCUUCCUAACUCAACAACAUUGUAGUUACUCCACAAUACUAACCUAAUUGACAGAGUGAAAAGAAGGAAUCCUGUACUGAAUAGAAAAUAUUCCGAAACAUGCAUCCUGUUUGCAACAAGGCAGUAAAGUAAUACUGCAAAAAAUGUGGUGACGCAAUUAACUUUUUGUCCUGAAAACAAAGUGUUAUGUUUGUGGCAAAUCCAAUUCAACAUUUUACUGAGUAACACUCUCCAUAUUUUCAAGCAUAAUGGUGGCUGCAAUGUCUUGUGGGUAUGCUUGUAAUCAUUAAGGGAGUUUUUGAGAAUAAAAAAAUAGAUGGACUAGAGCUAUGCUAAAACCUGGUUCAGUAUACUUUCCAUCAGACACAGGGAGAUUAAUUCACCUUUCAGCAGGACAAUAACCUAAAACACAAGUCCAAAUCUAUACUGGAGUUUCUUACCAAGAAGACAGUGAUGUUCCCAAGUGGCCGAGUUACAGUUUUGGCUUAUAUCAUGAAAAUCUAUGGCAUGACUUGAAAAUGUUAAAAAAAAAUGUAAGACUCAUGGGCAAUUGUUGCACAAGAUGUGGAACGCUCUUAGAGACUUACCUAGAAAGACUCACAGCUGUAAUCGCUGCCAAAGGUGCUUCUACAAAGUAUGGACUCAGGGGUGUGAAUAUUUAAGUAAAUUAGAUAUUUCUGCAUUUCACAACAACAACAAAAACAUGUUUUCACUUUGUCAUUAUGGGGUAUUGUGUGUAGAUGGUGUAUUGGUUGUAACACAACAAAAUGUGGAAUAAGUCAUGGGGUAUGAAUACUUUCUGAAGGCACUGUACAUUGUACUUACUGUAAGUUGACAUUUACAAGAGAGAAACCUUGUUUGUGCCUCUGUGACAAAUACUUAUUUCUAGCCCUAGACAGUUAUCUUGUUGACUGCUGACCAUAUUGUGAUGGUCCAAGCUUGAAUAAUCUCCUAAUGUCUUACAUGUUUCCCUCCCACUGAUCAUACAACUGUCUGAGGUGAAAGCAACAGCAAGUCAUUCUCAUAUCAUAACACGUGAUUUUCUAUGAUGGUCUCUGUUUAACCAUCUCUCUCUAGGAUUUCUACUUUAACCAAAUAGUUUUACUCUAAAUGUAAUGGGUACCAUUAACCAGAUGUUGUUAGGACCAUUGUUACAGUGACUAGUGUGUGCUAUAUGUGGCUAGUCAGUUUACAGUGCAUUGUGUAGGCCUAUAAAUGGGUUAUGCAGCAUUGCCAUUGUAUAAAACAUCGACGUCCUCUCAUUUCUUUCUUUAUCAAGCUCCAAGAUGUGUUAUUUUGACAACAAAACCAUUUUUUUUUUCAUUUAUUUAAAAUGAAUAAAUUGCUGGGGGCUGCUGGCAGCAUAUUAAUGUGAUUUGUGCUCUGUUUCAAAGUCAGAAGCUGAGCAAUUUUAUAGAGGCAUGUCUUCACCUACACACCAGAGGAGGGAGGUUACAGCAGCAAGUCUUAAAGGGGAAUAUCAAUAAAAAAU
rnacentral:lncRNA from 1 species